AUGUGCCGCUAUAGCUCAGCCGGUUAGAGCGUGGGUCUAAUAAGCCCAAGGUCGCAGGUUCGAUCCCUGCUAGCGGCAU
rnacentral:tRNA from 1 species